UACGAGGGGGGCAAGUGUUGUUCGGAAUCACUGGGCGUAAAGGGCGCGUAGGCGGGCUCUUAAGUUAGGUGUUUAAUCCCGGGGCCCAACCCCGGACAGGCACCUAAAACUGGGAGUCUGGAAUAGUGGAGAGGACGGCGGAAUUGGGGGUGUAGCGGUGGAAUGCGUAGAGAUCCCCAAGAACACCAGUUGCGAAGGCGGCCGUCUGGACACAUAUUGACGCUGAGGCUCGAAAGCAUGGGGAGCAAACAGG
rnacentral:rRNA from 1 species